rnacentral:rRNA from 1 species
AUUGAACGCUGGCGGCAGGCCUAACACAUGCAAGUCGAGCGGAUGAAGGGAGCUUGCUCCUGGAUUCAGCGGCGGACGGGUGAGUAAUGCCUAGGAAUCUGCCUGGUAGUGGGGGAUAACGUCCGGAAACGGGCGCUAAUACCGCAUACGUCCUGAGGGAGAAAGUGGGGGAUCUUCGGACCUCACGCUAUCAGAUGAGCCUAGGUCGGAUUAGCUAGUUGGUGGGGUAAAGGCCUACCAAGGCGACGAUCCGUAACUGGUCUGAGAGGAUGAUCAGUCACACUGGAACUGAGACACGGUCCGGACUCCUACGGGAGGCAGCAGUGGGGAAUAUUGGACAAUGGGCGAAAGCCUGAUCCAGCCAUGCCGCGUGUGUGGAGAAGGUCUUCGGAUUGUAAAGCACUUUAAGUUGGGAGGAAGGGCAGUAAGUUAAUACCUUGCUGUUUUGACGUUACCAACAGAAUAAGCACCGGCUAACUUCGUG